CACGUAGGGGCCAAGCGUUGUCCGGAUUUAUUGGGCGUAAAGAGCUCGUAGGCGGUUCGACAAGUCGGGUGUGAAAACUCCGGGCUCAACCCGGAGUACGCCACCCGAUACUGUCGUGACUGGAGUCCGGUAGGGGGAGUGGGGAAGUUCCUGGUGUAGCGGUGAAAUGCGCAGAGUAUCAGGAGGAACACCGGUGGCGAAGGCGCCACUCUGGGCCGGUACUGACGCUGAGGAGCGAAAGCGUGGGUAGCAAACAGG
rnacentral:rRNA from 1 species